rnacentral:rRNA from 1 species
GCGGCGUGCUUAACACAUGCAAGUCGAACGAUGAAGCCCUUCGGGGUGGAUUAGUGGCGAACGGGUGAGUAACACGUGGGCAAUCUGCCCUUCACUCUGGGACAAGCCCUGGAAACGGGGUCUAAUACCGGAUAACACUCUGUCCCGCAUGGGACGGGGUUGAAAGCUCCGGCGGUGAAGGAUGAGCCCGCGGCCUAUCAGCUUGUUGGUGGGGUGAUGGCCUACCAAGGCGACGACGGGUAGCCGGCCUGAGAGGGCGACCGGCCACACUGGGACUGAGACACGGCCCAGACUCCUACGGGAGGCAGCAGUGGGGAAUAUUGCACAAUGGGCGAAAGCCUGAUGCAGCGACGCCGCGUGAGGGAUGACGGCCUUCGGGUUGUAAACCUCUUUCAGCAGGGAAGAAGCGAGAGUGACGGUACCUGCAGAAGAAGCGCCGGCUAACUACGUGCCAGCAGCCGCGGUAAUACGUAGGGCGCAAGCGUUGUCCGGAAUUAUUGGGCGUAAAGAGCUCGUAGGCGGCUUGUUGCGUCGGUUGUGAAAGCCCGGGGCUUAACCCCGGGUCUGCAGUCGAUACGGGCAGGCUAGAGUGUGGUAGGGGAGAUCGGAAUUCCUGGUGUAGCGGUGAAAUGCGCAGAUAUCAGGAGGAACACCGGUGGCGAAGGCGGAUCUCUGGGCCAUUACUGACGCUGAGGAGCGAAAGCGUGGGGAGCGAACAGGAUUAGAUACCCUGGUAGUCCACGCCGUANACGUUGG